GGAGAGGUGGCCGAGCCUGGUUGAAGGCGCACGACUCGAAAUCGUGUAAGGUGAGUAAUCAUCUUCGAGGGUUCGAAUCCCUCUCUCUCCGCCA
rnacentral:tRNA from 1 species